GAUGAACGCUGGCGGCGUGCCUAAUACAUGCAAGUCGAGCGAACAGACGAGGAGCUUGCUCCUCUGACGUUAGCGGCGGACGGGUGAGUAACACGUGGAUAACCUACCUAUAAGACUGGGAUAACUUCGGGAAACCGGAUCUAAUACCGGAUAAUAUAUUGAACCGCAUGGUUCAAUAGUGAAAGACGGUUUUGCUGUCACUUAUCGAUGGAUCCACACCGCAUUAGCUAGUUGGUAAGGUAACGGCUUACCAACGCAACGAUGCGUAGCCGACCUGAGAGGGUGAUCGGCCAGACUGGAACAGAGACACGGUCCAGACUCCUACGGGAGGCAGCAGUAGGGACUCUUACGCAAUGGGCGAGAGCUUGACGGAGCAACGCCGCGUGAGUGAUGAAGGUCUUCGGAUCGUAAAACUCUGUUAGUAGGAAAGAACAAAUGUGUAAGUAACUAUGCACGUCUUGACGGUACCUAAACAGAAAGCCACGGCUAACUACGUG
rnacentral:rRNA from 1 species